CAAAUGUCAACCAGCAGUUUUCAGUAAGAAAAUUGUGGUAAAAAGUCGCCACUUACCGGAGAUCAGCUGAGCUUGUGCCGUCCAUACAGCUGGCGUCGACUUCCCUCAGAGACUGACGUCAAGACACCCGUGGACACACCCCUCCGACUAUCAGACAGUAGCUGGGGGGUGUCGUGCCAGCAGGCAGUCCUCGGUUGCCCAGGAAACAGAUGGUGGAUGAAGGGCGCGCAUACAAAAGAGCACAAACCUGUGGCAGCAGCUGGGGAGCGGCUCACUGACUAAUUCAUGCAUGCGCAGUUCCUCACAGCCAUGUACGUGUCUUGUCUUUGUUUCAGUACUUGUGCACAAUAUUUGCUUUUCCAAAGUGGACUGUGCACGCAGCUGUUCUUGACACUCCCAUUUGGGCUUGCAGCAGCUCUGCAGCAGCUCUGCAGCACACGGUAGAGAGGCGAGCUUUUUUUUUUUUUUUUUUACUGCAGAGAACAACACGGGUUGUCGUUUUGUUAGCAGCAUAGAGGUAGGAUAUCGUGUGAGGUCUGGUACAAUUCUCUCGAUGUUGUGGAACGUGUGCAAUCUGGAAAUGACUGCAGGGCCAUUGAUUUGACAACAAUUAAAUAUGCUGCGAGGAUCUGAAGGGGAGCCAACGCCUGCAGACAGGUCAUGUGCACAAUACAACAUAACAUAUUGGUUGCUAUAGAGCAGUGGUUCUCAAAUGGGGGUACGCGUACCCCUGGGGGUACUUGAAGGUAUACCAAGGGGUACGUGAGAUUUUUAAAAAAUAUUCUAAAAAAAGCAACAAUUCAACAAUCCUUUAUAAAUAUAUUUAUUGAAAAAUACUUCAACAAAAUAUGAAUGUAUGUUCAUAAACUGUAAAAUGAAAUGCAACAAUGCAAUAUUCAGUGUUGACAGCUAGAUUUUUUGUGGACAUGUUCCAUAAAUAUUGAUGUUAAAGAUUUAUUUUUUUGUGAAGAAAUGUUUAGAAUUAAGUUCUUGAAUCCAUUACAAUCCCCAAAGAGGGCACUUUAAGUUGAUGAUUACUUCUAUGUGUAGAAAUCUUUAUUUAUAAUUGAAUCACUUGUUUAUUUUUCAACAAGUUUUUAGUUAUUUAUAUAUAUAUUUUUCCAAAUAGUUCAAGAAAGACCACUACAAAUGAGCAAUAUUUUGCACUGAUAUACAAUUUAAUAAAUCAGAAACUGAUGACAUAGUGCUGUAUUUUACAUCUUUAUCUCUUUUUUUUUCACCCAAAAUGCUUUGGUCUUAUUAGGGGGUACUUGAAUUAAAAAAAUGUUCACAGGGGGUACAUCACUGAAAAAAGGUUGAGAACCACUGCUAUAGAGCAAAAGACCAAAAGGCUACCUGAAUUUGAAAAUCUCGCCAAAGGGUUAAAUAAUCUUCUUCAACUUUUAGUGUUUUUUUGUAACUGUUCAAUUCAGAUUUCAUGCUUCUAUUUAAUGACAAAAAAUGUGGAGCUCUGCUUUGUAUAUACAUAAAAAAACACAACUAUCCCAUUGAGAAUAAAGUCGGAGACCAUUAAGAUUGAUAAACAGGCUAAAAUGGGCCCAAAGUAGAAUUUUAUUUUGAGCUCCCGCCAUUACCAAACAUGUCCACUCUUUUUUGUUUAUGUGUACAUUUUCGUACUUUUUUAAAUCAAACAUGAAUUCAAUUUGAUCCAUGUUUUGUACAAACACAAAUUGUAGGGAAAUACAUUGUGUUUGUGUGUGUAUUUUUAUUUCUACCCUUCUUGAGACAUCAACAAGGAAAAGUACCGUCCAUAUGAGGACCGAUGAACAACUUAGGACAUAAAUCAUGGUCCCAAUAAGGAAAACCAUAGCAUCUAAUAGAGAAUGUCUCAUUUUCACCCCUGGUGGUGAGAUCUAUCAAAAUGAGGGUGGUCCCAAAAAGGAAAUAAUUUUCCAAUAAACUGUGUGUCGGUUUUUAAAGUGCUCCCCCUCUGGUUGACAUAUGAAAUAACAAGUGUGUGUAUGAAAUUGAAAAGCGCCCCCUUUGGCCAAAAUUAACAAAAGUAAAAUAAAUAUGUAUAUAGAGACAUACUGUGAUAACUUGAAGUAAAUAUGAUUAAAAACCAAUUACAAACAAAAAUUCAAAAUAUUUUUUGAAUAAAAGCUUCCCUUUUUUAUAUUUGCAUAGUUUGUAUAUAUUAUUAAUGUUGUCAAUACACUUCUUUAUGCAUCUAGAAAGGGAGGUCCUCAAGAGGUAGGCAUUUUUCAGAGGUCUCAAGAAUGUUACAAAUACAAAAAUGUGUGUGUGUGCCAGUUAACAAAUUUACGAUAAUUAAAACAUCUUGGCUGGGAUUCGAACGGAGUGCAGUUAGUUAAUCCCCAGCCAAGCUCUAACACUGUGGACCCCCAGAGAGACUGUAAAUAUUUGGGUAAACUCGCCACAAUAUUUCUAUCACUGACAGAGCUGGAAUAUUUGUGGUAAUAUUUCAUAUAUUAAUUUAUUAGUAGCCCUGUGAUUAGGUGGCGACUUGUCCAGGGUGUACCCCGCCUUCCGCUCGAAUGCAGCUGAGAUAGGCUCCAGCACCCCCGCGACCCCAAAAGGGACAAUCGGUAGGAAAAUGAUGGAUGGGCCUUUAUUAAUAUUUUAUAUUCACGCACAACGAUUGAUCGUGGUGCCCUAAAAAUAAAUAUUACACGUACAUGUUUGCUUCAGUGGUCUUAUACUGUCCAGUGUAUGCAAUUUUGUUUAGUCCAUCUUUAGUACAGCUUUGUUUUGUAUGUCUCUGUCCCGGUAAACUGACGGACACCAGGAUCUCACUUUGGCCUCCGUUGCACUCCUGUGUUGAUGGCAUCGCUUGAACGGCCUCCUCUGUGCUUCUUCAUGGACGGAGCUGCCAUAUCUGCUGACCUGGACCCUCAGAGGACGGAUCAACCUUUUUUUGUGUUUAACUGAAAUGUGGAUUUUGAGAGACCUGGUGUCACAUGACCGUAUUAUAUCCUGUCUUUCAGCAUACACUGUAUGUUUACACAGUCUUACUCACACUGGUUUGAUCAGUGCACCACUUUUUGCAUUAUGAAACAGGCACUGAGGCACUUUUCAGCUAUGUACACUGACCUCCCCCUUGUUGCUAUGGUUACUUACUCUCUUCACCCGGUGGACUUCUAAAUUCCCCAGUAGUCAUUAGUACUUAGUUACGUUAUCAGAAGCACACAUCUCGCACUUUUAAAAGGUGUCAGUAAUUUAGAAUCAUCCAUCUUGAUCAUACUGUACAAGUGUGUUGUGCGCUUGCUCGUGGUGUAGUCGCUGUGUGAGGGGCAUGGAGUGUAUGCAUGUAUUUGGCGUCUUUGCGUGUUUAUGUGCAUGUGUAUUCUUAUACAACGUGCAAGCUCCUUCAGCUGCCGAAUGCGCCAGACUCUGGAAAAAAAAUAUUUACAAAUUAUUAUUUGACAUUUGUUUUGGCCCAGCAACUAUGAACAACUACUACUAAUGACGCUGAAGCAGGGCUAUUCAACUGACGGUCCGGGGGCCAAAUCUGGCCCGGGAAGGACACCAUACCUGCACCCAGGUUCAGUUCAAAACUUGUUACACAAACACUUAUGGUAGUAAAUUCCAAAAAAGUGCCCAUGUUGUAUAGAGGAACUUGGACCACUGUAAACACAUAGGCAGAUCCCCGCAUUGACAUUUUAACCUUGCUGGCAAACACCGAACAUUGGGGUCCAAACUUGCGAUAUACAUAGCUUAGGUGUUCCUCAAGGCAUGACGUUAAGUCCUCUCCUUUUUGGUAGAUACAUUUUUUUCCCGGAAUAUGAUUUAUAUAAUCAAGAGUCGCUGUAGCCUGUUCAUUUCAGAUAUAGUCAGUAGUCAUUUGUUCAACUUCUUUAGUUACACUAGUGGUGUUCCACAAGGAUCCAUUUUAGGUCCUCUGUUUUUCAUAAUUUGCACCAUUCAACUGGUUCAGUUCAAAAAACUUGUGAGAGAUUCUUAAAAAGUGCUGUCAUAGAGAUGAUCUUUGACUAAUUUUUUUUGCCAAAGUCAAUCAAUCAAUAUUUAUUUAUAUAGCCCCAAAUCACAAAUGUCUCAAAGGACUGCAAGUGCCUUGAAUUCUGACCAAAUAAAUAGACCAAAACAAACUGUCUACUAUAGUGGAUGCUGGUUCUUAGGAACACACACAAGUGAAGGAAACAGUCAGGUCUUUAGCUCUCUGAAAAUGCAGUCACCAAAACAAAUUGAAUAAUUAAGUAAUAAAACUAAUACUAACAAUAAUAAUAAAUAUUACGUUGAAUAUCCCUGCCCUAAAUAUAAUUAAGGAUCAUCGUGAAAGAUGACACGCAUGGCACACAUUUUUCUGGUCAUGCUUUAUCAGCAUCAACUGAUUCUUUAACAAAAUCCAACAAAUGCUUAUAAUUAUACAAAUAGAUUUGUACCCAGGUCUGGAUUAUACUAACAUUAAUUUUUCUAACAUUCUGAUAAUCACUAACCUCACUGAUCGCUUAUGGCUGACUAACUCACUCACUGACUAACCCUCUGCUUUAUGGCCGCAGUUGCACAAAACUGUACAGUCUUCUCCGGUGAUCUUGCAAUCCCUCUUCUAGAAAGUAACUAUUCUUAAAACACUAACAUGAGUUAUCAAGAAGGGUUUCAAGAUCUGGGGAGGACAAUCGAACGAGCCGGAAGCCGAAAAGUGACGUAUCAAGCUGGCUUGACCACAUAAAUCCACACAGAUAUUGGAAAAACAAAGUACAAUUCUCCCACACUAGAGCAGGGGUAGGGAACCUAUGGCUCUAGAGCCAGAUGUGGCUCUUUUGAUGACUGCAUCUGGCUCUCGGAUAAAACUGAACUGACAUUGCUUAACAGGAUAAGUAAUGAAUAAUUCCACUUGUAAUCACAGUGUUAAAAACAACGUUCAAAAUAUAAAACAUUCUCAUGCAUUUUUUUGUUCAAGAAGUUGCGUUAAUGGUAAGAAGUAAUUUAUUUAUUAUUGGUUAGUGUUGGGCUUGCCCUCCUGGUUGUUCUUCAGACCACCAAGAGGCUGUUUUAGGGUUACAAUAUUGUUUUAUUUUAGUUUUCUCUCAGUCGCUUUACAGAAAUUGUAUUUUUCUCUUUCGUCCUCACUCGCGCUCUGGCUCCAGCCCCAACCCCGUCUCUCCUCCUGGCUGCUGCUUAUAACAGAGCGACAGGUGAUUAGAUAAAAAGGCCCAGGUGGGCCUCUACGCACCUGUCGCUGAUUUCGAGGCCAGUCCUGGCAACAUCCCGCUUUGCUGCAGGUCAUGCCCCCUCCACAGUUAGCUUCAGAAUAACAAUGUUAUUACAAAUAAUAAGAUUCUUAUUAUACUCUGGAAAUGUUGGUCUUAUUUAAAAAUGCACGCGUUUAGUUGUGUUCAGUGUUAAAAAAAAAUACUAUCUGGCUCUUAGGGAAAUACAUUUUAAAAUAUUUGGCUUCUUGGCUCUCUGAGUCCAAGAGGUUCCCGACCCCUGCACUAGAGGCUAAAAUUAAAGGAACAGAUUUGUGUUGCUUUGUGUGCACAAUGUGGUCAAGCUUUGCAGGUACUGAUUAGUUGCCAAGGGCAACUUUACUAACUAUGCCUUUGAUACUAACAGUCAAAUACUAACAUCUCUGCUAUGCAAAACUCUUCAUAUAUUGCAACCAAAGUGUUGAUCAUCUGACUAAAGCAUGGCCUGUGUUAACUUUUCCAAAAUCAUACAGAGGACUAAUCAUUGGUGCAAUGAACAAGCCACUAACAUUCUUGGAAAUACUAACCAAAAAGUAUUCAAUAACUAACACACUAAUGAACUAACCAACAAACUAACAUGACUAACUGGAAUCCGUAGCAUCCAGAUUUAGACGGGUUGCAUCACGUAUUGAGUGUGCUAACAAAGUUUGAAUGCACUUGUGUUGAAUGUGUGUGGGUGUGCACAUACGGAGGACACUUCCAUGCUGUGUGUUGCCCGGAAGGAUAUUUUGAGUGUUCUAAUUAAGAAUAUGAUGCCAAAUGUUGUCACGUACAAUAACACAAUUAUUUGUUCCAGCCCAGAAUGAUAAACGGCUGAAAAUGUCAGACUAAAAAAGUCGUGGUCUUAAAACAACAAAAGAAGCAAUUAUAUUCUGAAAUUUAAAAAAAACAUCCGCGGAUGUGUGUUCUUGGAGAUCUGCAUCACUUUAGCAAUGGGCCAUCAAAGAAUAAAGAUACAUUUUUGUUGAUAGGUAUCAUAACAAAAACAAUACGACUGAAAAAAAUGCAUAUAUGUUGAUAGUCAAAUUCCGAUGACUGGUAUACAGUCACUAUGAGUCAUUAUUUAUCAGUAGAAAAAACUGCAUUUAGAUUAAAUAAUAGGGAGUCAUAUCUUGGAAUAUGAAAUCCGUUAUAUGAAUUUGUUUUAACGAUUAAAAUUCUUGAAUAAUGACUACAGUGUGGUUUUCGAGUUUGUAAGAUGCAAUGCACUAAGCCACUGUAACUGUUAUUGUUUUUAAUCAAUAAUGGCUGUGAUGGUGAUAGAAAUUAUAAGCGAUGAUAUUAAUCAUACAUAUUGUUUCUGUUAUUGUAAUUAUUAUACUUUUGUUUUUCAAUCACAAUUGUUGAUGUUAUUAUUGUUGUUGCUUUUAUGAUUUAAGUUAGUUAAGUAUUAUACUUGUAUAUUAAUCUUAAUUGCUUUGUACAUUUCUAAGUAAUGUAAAGUUGGGAUUGGAGUUGGCUGUUAUUAGAUUAACAUUUUUUGUGAUUAUUUUGUAAAAAAAAAAAAAAUAAAUGGGGAAAAAACUCUUCUGCAUGAA